GGGGGUUUAGUAUAAUGGCGAUAUAGUGGUCUCCAAAACCGAUGAUAAGGGUUCGAUUCCUUUAACCCCCGCCA
rnacentral:tRNA from 1 species